GUUUGUUUCUGAGACUGAACACACCAGAUCUCAUCUGAUCUGCAAAGUUAAGCAGGGUUGGGCCUGGUUAGUAUGUGGAUGGGAGACUACCUGGGAAUACCACGUGCUGUAAGCU
ensembl:rRNA 5S_rRNA 5S ribosomal RNA